rnacentral:rRNA from 1 species
UACGUAGGGGGCAAGCGUUGUCCGGAAUCAUUGGGCGUAAAGCGCGUGUAGGCGGUUCGAUAAGUCUGCUGUGAAAGUCCAGGCUCAACCCUGGAAAGCCGGUGGAUACUGUCGGACUAGAGUGCGGAAGAGGCGAGUGGAAUUCCCGGUGUAGCGGUGAAAUGCGCAGAUAGUCGGGAGGAACACCAAUUGCGAAGGCAGCUCGCUGGGACGUUACUGACGCUGGAGACGCGAAAGCGUGGGGAGCAAACAGG